UUUCCAUUUCUAUUUUCAAAUCUCAGUUUUCGUUUCGAGCGGCUUUCGCAGGAUUGCGCAAGAAACGGUUCUUUCCUUUUGUUAUUUAUUUAUUUAUUUAUUUGUAGACACAAGUGGUGUGCUUGUUUUUACAGGUUUGGAGCACUGUGAUGAGAUGAACACGCGAUGACCGAUGAUUUCCCAUCAAUUUUCACUGGAGCAUUGCAGAUAAACUGGUGAAUGAAGUACCUGAUUUUUCAAUCACAGAGAACAAAAAAUAGGUUGCGAUGCAAAUAAUCUUAGGUUAAACUUGGUUGAGCAAUGCUCAUACUUGCUGGAAAAUUGAUUGGGCAGGAGUCACGCAUUGUCGUCAAGCUCUUCGUUAGUUCCUGCUGAAGUUGAAAUAUGGUGCUGGAUUUAUCAUUUUUAUGUUCAAAUUUGUUUCCUGUGCACCGUUAUCCGCUUGGUGAUUUAAAGGGACGCAAGACAUUAUUAUGAUAUCUCUCACUCAACAUUUUUGUGGUAGCAUGGUGGUCAGCACGAACGCAAAGUGGGAAAAUGAUGGUAAGGCUCCAAUCAGUUGAGCAUUCCAGCCAGGAGAGAAGGGUUUGACACUGAUCAAUGAGAAACCCUAUAGAGAAUGUAUAAAGCAUGUUAGGUUAAGUUACGAAGACAACUAAACUGGUAAAAAUGCAAAUUGCCAAUACAAACUUUAUCAUGAAAGGUUUUUGACUUAAUGUUGGGAAGGACUCUAAUAGUUCCUGGAAGAUGUGGGUUAAUAAAGAACUAGUAUAAGAGCACAUUCUAUGCACGUGUGUACGAUUAAAGGAUAUAAAACAAACAACCUUAAUUCCAAUA